rnacentral:tRNA from 1 species
GCCGAGGUGGCGGAAUUGGUAGACGCACUAGUUUCAGGGACUAGCGCCGCGAGGCGUAGGGGUUCAAGUCCCCUCCUCGGCACCA